GGAGGCGUGUCCGAACUGGCUAAGGAGCCGGUCUCGAAAACCGGUGGGCCGUGAGGCCCUUGUGGGUUCGAGUCCCACCGCCUCCG
rnacentral:tRNA from 1 species